UACAUCAUCUUUCAUUCAUUCAUCAUUUUUGUGUUUAUAACAUUAUCAAUUAGAAACAAAAUUCUAUGAGGAACCCUAACCCCAACCCUUUCAUCAUCUUUUGAAUUUCCCUAAAUCGAUGCUAUUUGCGGUUCCUUCUCUACUCGCACUGAAUCAUUCCCUCUCUACUCGCGGUUUGUGGUGCGUGUUCUUUCAAUUGAUGAUUUCGUCGUUGAAUCUCCGAUGCCAGAGCGUGAAGGAGCUCAACGGCGAGUCUGAUUUAGAAGCGUAGUCUCACCAGACGGUUACAUCUCCAUAUGCGGCUUCGGUUUCCUUCUCUCCGAGAAAAUGUGAUGCCGUUGACAUGCACACUUACACUCCUUUUUCCGCCGUGUCUUGACAGUUGUUGUUAAUUUCUUCUUCACUCGUGGCACUGCCAAUCUCAAAAUUGAGGUCCUAGUUGCUUACAGUAAUUCUGGUUAUAUUUAAAUUGAAAUUCAGUGAAACUUAUGCAUAGUAGUGUGAUUAACGAAAGGGAGAGAAUAAUAAAAACCAGAGGUGCUGGCUCUGAACUGCAAUGCACUGAAUUAUUAGUUAGGAAUACUUUUUUAAGGUCAACUUGUAUUGCCUUGUGACAGGAAUUUCACUAAUGAAUUAUUCUUUUUUCCAAGGGACUCAGAAACCAGCAUUUAUAGAAAGAGAGAGGGAAUAUCGAUUUUUAGCUGUCUUUCCUGAAUCACUAGAUGAGGAGCUCUUUGUCAAUCCAGCAGAGAAAAGAGGGACUGCACGGGGAUUCAGUUUAAGCCACCUGGGUGUUGGGUUCCACUUCCAUGGUUGAAGAAGCAUGCAAAUUGCUGAGGCUCUCCAAAUGCAAAUGGAGGUGCAGAAGAAACUUUAUGAGCAAAUUGAGGUGCAGAGACAUUUGCAGCUUAAGAUUGAAGCACAAGGGAAGUACUUGCAAUCAGUACUACACAAGGCACAAGAACUUGCAGGAAUGAUCAACAAUGGCAGCCCGGGAUCUCCUCCGAUUUCAAAACUGACAGAAACAAGAGGAGGGUUCAGUUGGAGCUGUGGGCAGAGGAAACAGAACAGGGGAACCAUGUGUUCACUUGAAAUUUAAAGUUCUUUGACAUCUUCUGAAAGCUCAAUGGAUCAAAGGCCUAAUAGUACUAACACUACUAAUACUACUUCACUUGAAUUGUUGCCACUCUUCAAAGAAUCUAAGGAACAAGAAGAUGAAUCUAUUAUUAGGAGAAAGAGGAGUUCAAGCUGCUUUGUUGAUCAGCCAUCAAAGAUGAGCAGAUCUGAAUUAUUAUAUAAAGUUGUGUUCUUCCAAGGAUGCCAGCUUCUCGUCAUCAUGGAAAAGGAUUUGCUUGCAACUUUCAAGCACCACACUCAGCUUUCCUCUCUGCUAAAGGACAAGAUGUGAGAAAGAUUCUCAAGCGUAAAGACAGUGAUACUGGUGAAAAAGAUUUAGCAUAUGGGACAAGUCAAGCAUGGAUAUAAAAUAUGCAAGUAAAUUGAUAUUUUUUGGAUAAAUAUUAAUUACUAUUUUGUUAUGACAAUUAUUGUUAGACAAGAAUUUUAUUAUUUUGUUGAAAAUUAUUGAUAAACAUGUAUUUGAAAUACUAAUUAAACUUUUUAAUAUCUAUUUUAAUUAGAAUUUUAUUAUUA